UACGAAGGGGGCUAGCGUUGCUCGGAAUCACUGGGCGUAAAGGGCGCGUAGGCGGCGUUUUAAGUCGGGGGUGAAAGCCUGUGGCUCAACCACAGAAUGGCCUUCGAUACUGGGACGCUUGAGUUUGGUAGAGGUUGGUGGAACUGCGAGUGUAGAGGUGAAAUUCGUAGAUACUCGCAAGAACACCGGUGGCGAAGGCGGCCAACUGGACCAUUACUGACGCUGAGGCGCGAAAGCGUGGGGAGCAAACAGG
rnacentral:rRNA from 1 species